CAAAGCCCCCUUAUGUACUUGUGAAACAUUGCAACUAACUCAUAACUAAAAAUUAACAUUCUACAGAAUGAGUAGUGUAGAAACACUUGGCUAAAAAAAAUUGCAACAUCGAUUCCAAAAGUACCAGAUUAUGAGUACUCCAAAUAGAACGGAAUAAAAUUGAGCUGAAAAUCUUUACUUUAUCAAAAAAAAAAGUUGAAAAUCUAUUAAGUAAUAUGCAUUAUUCACUUAUAUCAUGUUAGUAGGGGUUGUAGUAAAUGCAGCGGGAGCUAUUGUAUUAGGAGAACCUAUUGGUUUUUAGUAUGUAAUCAUUGUUGAAAAUCUGUUAAGUAAUAUGCAUUAUUCACUUAUAUCAUGUUAGUAGGGGAUGUAGUAAAUGCAGCGGGAGCUAUUUUAUUAGGAGCACCUGUUGGUUUUGAGUAUGUAAUCAUUUAGUGUUUCUAAUCUUUUAUAAUGACACUGAAGCCUGAAGCCUUAGUUGAGGUUGGAUGGAAAAAUCUAUCCUACAGCAUAGAAUAUGACAAUAUCCUUGCAUGAUCAUCAGGUAUGCUCUCUAUUUUUCACAAAAACGCCAAAGAUUGGCAAUUCAAACAUUCUAUUCAG
rnacentral:lncRNA from 1 species